GCCCUUGGCCCUCAGAACUAGACAGCACUUGAGCUCAUUCCCACCGCCCCCUCGAUCCCGUCCCUCCUCCACUACAGUGAAAGCAAACAAAGGGGAGGUAUCCCUGCAGGGCUACGGAUACCAACGGCCAAUCAGCUGCUUCUAAUCUCCUCGAAGGCGGCCGCCUGCUUUUAAAGGGGCCCAAUCUAGUUCUAAAAGCUUGAGGAGGGGCGGGGAGAUCGGGAGUAGGGACGGCGCGGGGAGGCUUCCCCGAGGGAAACGGAGGGCGGAGGCGUGGGGCGGAGCCAGCUCGAGGAGGGCGGGCUGCGCCGCGGCGCGCGGGAUCCGGCUGACGCAGCUGGCCCCGGCUCCCCGAGACCCAGACCGCGAGGGGAGGGGAAGGAGGAGAAAGAGUGAGGACGCGCGUGCGCAGUGGCGCGGGGAGGAGCGGGGACCUGGCAGCAGGCGAGGAGGCUGCGAGCGAGCCGCGAACCCGGCGGGCGGAGGGCGGCGAGCGCGCGCGCACCAUGGGAGAAAAACCCGGGACCAGGGUCUUCAAGAAGUCGAGCCCUAACUGCAAGCUCACCGUGUACUUGGGCAAGCGCGACUUUGUAGAUCACCUGGACAAAGUGGACCCUGUGGAUGGCGUGGUGCUUGUGGAUCCUGACUACUUGAAGGACCGGAAAGUGUUCGUGACCCUCACCUGUGCCUUCCGCUAUGGCCGAGAAGACCUGGAUGUACUGGGCCUGUCUUUCCGCAAAGAUCUGUUCAUCGCCACCUACCAGGCCUUCCCCCCCAUGCCCAACCCACCUCGGCCCCCCACCCGCCUACAGGACCGACUGCUGAAGAAGUUGGGCCAACACGCCCACCCCUUCUUUUUCACGAUACCCCAAAAUUUGCCUUGCUCCGUCACACUGCAGCCAGGACCAGAGGACACAGGGAAGGCUUGUGGAGUAGACUUUGAGAUUCGAGCUUUCUGUGCCAAAUCAAUAGAAGAAAAAAGUCACAAGAGGAACUCUGUGCGGCUUAUCAUCAGAAAGGUACAGUUUGCUCCUGAGACACCCGGUCCCCAGCCCUCAGCUGAAACCACACGCCACUUCCUCAUGUCUGACCGGAGGUCCCUCCACCUAGAGGCUUCCCUGGACAAAGAGCUGUACUACCACGGGGAGCCCCUUAAUGUCAACGUCCAUGUCACCAACAAUUCUGCCAAGACCGUCAAGAAGAUCAGAGUGUCUGUGAGACAGUACGCCGACAUUUGCCUCUUCAGCACCGCGCAGUACAAGUGUCCCGUGGCUCAGCUAGAACAAGAGUUGAACCAGAACCUACCCCCUCCUAAUCUGUGCCCAAAUGGACAGUGAGGGAGGAGAGACUGCCUGAGGGUGGUAAGAUGAGCCUCCCCUAGCCCAGGCUCUCCAACAAUCUUGUUCCCAACCCCCCACCCCACCCCACCCCCCAGUGACCAGGUGUCUCCUAGUUCCACGUUCUGCAAGGUGUACACCAUCACCCCGCUGCUCAGUGACAACCGAGAGAAGCGUGGCCUUGCCUUGGAUGGGCAGCUCAAACAUGAAGACACCAACCUGGCUUCCAGCACCAUUGUGAAGGAGGGAGCCAACAAGGAGGUGCUGGGGAUCCUGGUAUCCUACAGGGUCAAGGUGAAGCUGGUGGUGUCUCGAGGCGGAGAUGUCUCCGUGGAGCUACCCUUCGUCCUAAUGCACCCCAAGCCCCAUGACCACAUCACCCUUCCCAGACCCCAGUCAGCGCCCAUCCACCCACCCCUUCUCUGCCCUUCAGCCCCCCGGGAAACAGACGUGCCUGUGGAUACCAACCUCAUCGAAUUCGAUACCAACUAUGCCACAGACGAUGACAUCGUGUUUGAGGACUUUGCCCGGCUCCGGCUGAAGGGAAUGAAGGAUGAUGACUGUGAUGACCAGUUUUGCUAGGACGAGGGGCUGGGAGAGGUAGGGGCGGGCAGGACUCAGGUCCCACGGCCCUCGAGGGUGGGAGGGUCCCAGCCUCUCCUCCUUCCCCGUCUGUCCGUCUGUCCACCCGAGAUACACACUGGACCCAUCACUUGUUGAAAGUGGGCAUUAAUCUUCUGACUUCAGCUCGCUGCCCCAGCCCCGCUCCCUAGGGCGGCAAGCUGUGUACACACCUAAAGUUUUGGGAAGGGAACAGUGAACGCAAGGAGUGAAUGUAGAGAAAAGGUGUAGAAAGAACGCCCAUGUUUGGCCUCACACCAACUCGCCCCCAGUCACCACUUCUGCCUCCCAAUCCUUGAAGACGAGACUUUGGGGAGGGGUGAGCAAGGCCAUUUCUUUGUUUCUGAGCAUAGGGAAGAAAUAAACCUUUUAAUAGGCAUGAAUGUGUAUGUGUUCUGUCAGCGGAGUUUAAGGGGUGUCCAGUGUACCCAUCCAUGAUGCUUUUUUCUACAUCUGCAGGGUACCUUACUUGGGUUAUCAAUAAAUGUUUGCUGGAUGACUGUGCUAUGCCAGUGUUCCAAGGUAAA